GCUGGCGUCUGCCUAUACUUCAAGCUACUUGGGAGGCUGAGGUGUAAGGAUCACUUGAGCCCAGGAGUUCUGGGCUGUAGUGCGCUGUGCCGAUCGGGUAUCCACACUAAGUUCAGCAUCAAUAUGGUGACCUCCUGGGAGCGGGGGACCACCAGGUUGCCUAAGGAGGGGUGAACCGGCCCAGGUCGGAAACAGAGCAGGUCAAACCUCCUGUGUUGACGAGUAGUGGGAUUGUGCCUGAGAAGAGCCACUGCACUCCAGCCUGGGCAACAUGGCAGGAUCCCAUCUCC
rnacentral:SRP_RNA from 1 species